CACAAUUGUAGUAGCAGGAACAAAUGUUGAUGAUGUUGAUGUCCCCUUUUGUUGGAUAUGGGUUAUUGAAGUAAACUUCUCUUUUGAAGGAGGAACUAGUGGUGACGAAACUGCCUUCAGAGUGUAUUUAGGAGCAAACACACGAUCACUACGGGCCAUGCCUCUUAUUCUAGAUAUAUUCACGAUCUUGUCCUUAGAUAAUUG
rnacentral:lncRNA from 1 species